UUUUCCUUUUUUUUAUCAGUUUAGAUCUUAAAGUUGAUGUUUGUCAGACAAAAUGGCACAACUGACACCUUAUAGGCUAUCUGUUUUUUACUACUAUGGUUAUUGAGUUCUUUGCCAUUGUAAAAAUGAAUAAAUUGCUUCACCGAGCGCAGCUGGAUACGACCGCAGAGGUCCAACCCUGAACAGUUGGGGCAAACAUGGACACAAUAUUCAAGCUUGAUACAGGUCUGAAUUUGGAAUGUAAUUAAAUAUUUGACACAUUAUAGGUUUCUGACACAGAAUAAAUGUGUCAAAGAACUUGAAAUUGGUUGUAUGAUUUGAAUUUAUAUUCAAUUGAAGAUUUCUUGCUGUUGUGCAAUACACUGUGCUGUUGCGCAAUACUUAGUAAAUCUGUUUUCAGACUAUAUACAAAGAAUUAGCAAAAUAAAUUGUGACCCCCAAUUUUUUUCUUUAGAAAACUGACAAAUUCUUAAAUCUUGAGGGAAAAAAAAUUGCCCCCCCCCCC